rnacentral:rRNA from 1 species
UACAGAGGGGGCAAGCGUUGUUCGGAAUUACUGGGCGUAAAGGGCGCGUAGGCGGCCUGCUAAGUCGAACGUGAAAUCCCCGGGCUCAACCCGGGAACUGCGUCCGAUACUGACAGGCUUGAAUCCGGGAGAGGGAUGCGGAAUUCCAGGUGUAGCGGUGAAAUGCGUAGAUAUCUGGAGGAACACCGGUGGCGAAGGCGGCAUCCUGGACCGGUAUUGACACUGAGGCGCGAAAGCGUGGGGAGCGAACAGG